CCAAAGCUGACUGUCAUAUCCAAGUUCUAAAGUCUUACAAAAACAUCAGCGUACAGUGGAAACUCUGACCUGCGCUGCCCCUGAGACUUUCCUCCGUGUUUACGUGUAAGAUGAUUCAAGCUACCCAAGGAACCGAAGACACCUCGUGUGAAAAUCGGCCUUCCCGUGGGACCCCGAGUCUCUCGCUAUCAUUCUAAUCUAAUUAAGCACCCAAACUAUGACAAGGAUGAAAGUGGCCAUCAACCAGGCUCUGAGAGACGCCACUUCCUCCUGGAGCUGGAGGACUCCAUUAGAGCCUGACAUCCAGCUGGCCUCAGCUAAUCCCAGCAAUAAAGAUGGAGGAAACAUAAGCAGAUCUCAUCUACCCGGAUUGUCCGAAGAGGACACAGAGGCUUGAAGUCCAGCUUCCUCCUAGCUCACGUUAGCGUGCCCAGGCCAACAGCUGAGCCACCAGUCACGUGAGCAGCCAUCUCACCGCCAGACUACCUCGAACUUGCUCUUUCCUCAGUUUAGGAAUCGCAUUCUGGGACCCAGAUACAGAAGGAACGCCUUGCCCUCUCACCCUCAGGCUGGUCUGUAGCUGCCUUGAAUUGAAAUCCUAUUGAAGGUCACCCUCUCGCAAGAGCUUACGUGUCUCAGAAACAAGAAAAGAUGUGCAAUUAUGUGUCCUCUGAUUAAUAGUGAGGAGACCGACAGCCGGGAUUCAGAACAAGUAGUGACUUCACAGACAGAAUCUGAUCUCACAGUUCAGGGCAGUGCUUCUCAGCCUUCCUCAUGCUGUGACCCUUAUCACCCUUAAUUUUUGCAGAAAAUUAUAUUUGUUGCUACUUCAUAACCACAGUUUUGCUACUGUUAUGAAUGGUAAUGCAAAUACAUCUUUUCCGAUGGUUUUAGGUAAUCCCCAGGAAUGGAUUGUUUGACCCCAAAGGGGGGUCACAACCCACCGGUUGAGAACCCUGGUUUAGACUCAACAGAGCACAGCAAUAGCUGCUGGAGGGUGGAGACUGCGAAUGCAAAACUCCUCCUCACUCCAUAGAAAUAAAGGACAGACGGGGUGAGCAAAUAAAGGUUUCAUUAUGGUUUAAUACGAGGAGUCGCGUGGAUAGGACUGGGAGAUUUGCAAUUGUCUAGAACUCUUAAGUCAAGGGAAAUAAGACCAGCGAAAGUAAUAAUAAAACUGGGACAAGGGAGGAGCAGAGGAAUGGCAAUUUUCUGAGUUCAAAGUUAUUCCUAACGAAUAAGGUAGGCGUGCCUAGAGCUGGGAAGGUGAAUGGCAGAAGAAAAUGGUAGCCAAGGAACUGUGCAGGGUGACUUGCGUCAUUGACAGAAGCUUCUCCUCUCAGCCUUGCUCUACUAGGCUGGCCUCUUGCCAGAAAGACACUGAAAAGACAGAUAAUAAUGACUGCCCUUUCCAAGGAUAUGUGUGUCCUGCUAGGAUAUGAUCUAUAAAUGCUGUAGAUGUACUCUCCUCCCUUGUCCUAAUUUAUUAUUACUUCCACUGCUCUCUGAUAGUGAGAUUUUUAAUUUUCAUUAUUGUUAUUAUUGUUUCACGUAUAGCUUCCAUUUUGUUUUUCCAAGGUGUCCUUAUGAAGCCACGUUUUCACACGGGCUUUGGGGGGGGGGGUCACAGCAGAGCUCCGGCAGGUCUAAAUCCUGGUGGGGUGGUUUGCUCUUUCAGGGCUUCAUGAGAUCAAUUCCUGACUCUUGCUAUGAAUAGCACAGCUCACACAGGAGCACAGCUUGACAUAGAGCUACCUUGAAGCUAUGUGUAUACGUGUGUAUGUAGUGGGUACCUACAUUCAAGCGCAGAUACUCAUGGAGCUCAGGAAAAGGCUUCUGGUCCUCUGGAGAUGGAGUACCACGUGGUUGUGAGAUGCCCCACAUGCGUGCUGGGAACAGAACUCAGGCUCUUGACAAAAGCAGCAAGCACUCUCCACUACGGAGCCACCUCUCUAGGCCUGACAUUCAGAUUUCUAAUAUGGUUUGCAAGCUGUUCCAUAGACAACAACCUCCACAUAAUAUGAGCAGUUGAAGAACAUGGAGGCUCUGUUUGCGUGAUGGCAUAUCAGGUAAAUCAGCCCAAAUACACGUCUCCACAGGCACGUGUAACCAUGAGAAUCAGUACAUGCAAUGGAACAGCCCAAUGGCAAUCUGUCAGAGUAGCCAAAUCCUGCUGGGGAGUGGCAAACCCGGCGUUCUGAGACACUAGAUGGACUCGGUAAAGCAACACGUAGCUGAGUGGGUGAUGAUCUUAUUGAGAGGUGAGUUUUUUAUAUGUUGAUCAGUAAAGUAUACAGUUGAAAUACAGUUUUAAUAUUAUAUGUUUCAUGUCAUUUUCCUUGCUUAAUUCCACAUAUAAAUUAUGAUAUGUGUUAUGCUUUAUGUGUCCAUAAGUUCUCAUUGUAUUAUUAUUAUUAUUAUUAUUAUUAUUUCACGUGUGCAUAUGUAUAUAUGCAGACAGAAGAAAGUAGAAAAGAUAUGCAUUGAGGCCAUACUUUCUAAUGACUUAAAUGAUUAUAUUAGCCCUGCUCUGUGACAUGGAGAUUCAAAUUUUCAUAUGGGACAAUUUAUUUUCUGCCCUGUAAGAGUCUAUAAAUAUGCCUUGCAAUGUGA